CUGAGAACUAACCAUGGGCCUCUCCCUUAAAUGGCACAGUAAUGAGGUAGCAAGAAAAAUCCGGUUGCAAUUUUAAUGUCCAAAAGCUUACCCAUCUGCAUCACAAUCCUAUAAGAAAAAUAUGCCAUGUGUGGCCCCUGUAAAGUGAAAUUGGCAAGCCUUGGUUCUCCCACAGGGCAAUGAUUUCUCCACCUGGAAUGCUAGCAAUGUCUUCUCCUUGGAAAGUUUAUAGAGCUUAUAUCCUGCCUGUUCACCUUUAAUAAAAAAAUGUUAAAUAUUGUAAAAUAAACUUUACUGGGGCAGGAAUACAUAUCCUCCAAGUCUUUUGCUUCUUUAAACAUCCCGAGGGCUAUAAAAUGCCCCGGUUGGACUGGCUGCUGUGUCAGGAAUGUGCCUGACUCACUUGGUUCCGGGGGCUCUCCCCAGUUUGUGUGGCUAUACCUGGGGCAAGGGGAAGGUUCCAGGCAUCACUGAUGGAUUAUUUGUCUUGUCCAGCUACGUUCUUCCUGCUGUUUGACUGGGUAAACUCAAAGCUUGCUUUCUCCUGUCCCGCUUUCCUUUGUCUGAUUAUAGUUAAACUUCCCGUCAUGUACCUGACAUUUAUAUGGUGUAUGUCCCCACUGUCCCUCAUCCUUCCUGCAUAGGAGUCCUUUCGUGGACAGCAGAGAGGAAGGAAUGCUGAACUUGGAAUUAGGCCACCAGGCUGCACAUCCAAGUCCCUUUGCUACUAACUGAGUCAUGUUGGGCAAAUCAAUUACAACUUCUUCUUUUAGAAAGAAGGCGGGCACUUCAGAAAACACUCUUCCAGGCCUACUAUGUGUCAGACAGCAAGCAGAAUACAAGAAGACAAAGAUGAAGUGCCCAGAUAAACAGAGAGUAUCAAACAACGUAACUACCACCCCUCUGGUGUGGGAUCCUUAACUCAACAGGCCUAUGGUAAUACCACUCAAGGUACAGUAAAGAGCAGAGAUUCAAUAUCACCACUCCUGGACCUUGUUAGGCUAAGUGGACAGUUGCUGUCAGCAGCAUUUUGCAGGAGACCCAAA
rnacentral:lncRNA from 13 species